CGCUGCUUCACACUUGUAGUAACCCAGCUAUGGUGCAUCUCGGCAUCCUCUCUCCUGAAGCACUUGCAACCUCACGGACCAUGCCGAGGGAGGCGGGGCCGGCGAUGCCAGCUCAUCAAUGAAUCAGCAUGUAAGCAGAAUGGAAAACAAGAUCUGUUGGCUUCUCUUCAAGGAUAGAAGAGCCCGGGAGAUUCCUUCUUGUCACAGUGUGCUCUUGCUCCCAGGUUCCAUAAACUAAAGUGCAAGUCAUCAGCCUGAACUGUUACUGGGAGAGUGGUGGAACCAUGAGGAGGUGAAGCCUGGUGGAAGGAAGUUAAGCCACUGUGGUUAUGCCGUGAUACUGGGACCCCAGUCUCUCUUUGUCCCAGACAGCGUUAAAUUAAUAGAUUUACUGCACCAUGGAUUUCCUGCCUGGUAUUCUGCAUCAUUAUAGACUCAAAGUGAUGGGAUUGAUGGACCAUGGACCGAAACCUCUGAAGCCACGAGCCCACAUUCAUCUCUCUCCCUCCGUUACUAUUAAUUCCUUGGGUACCUUUCAAAUUAAUCGAAAGAAGUAGAAAGAAUUGCUUGGAACUUCUGGUACUUAUAGUUAGGACGUGAGGUGAGGAAUGGCAUUAAAAAUUUGAUC